rnacentral:lncRNA from 1 species
CCCACACAAGAUCAUCCUCACACCUCCAUAUUCGUUUCGAAUAUUUUUGUAACCUUGCCGGAGAACCGCAACUCACCGGAGAGGAAGCUUUCGCCCGAAAUCGGAGUGGCCGUAACAUGAAGUUCAACGGAGAACCAGUCGUUGCCGGAGAGGAGGUCGGAAACCCGCGAAUGUUCUUCCGUUUCGGAUAACCAUCUCGUUCGUUCUCUUGGAUUUUUCCAAUCUUAUUUGUGCGUUCUUACAAGAAAUCGCAACGCAAUCACUGAUGAUGUUCAAGAAAUAAAGAAAUCAAGCUAGGAUGGAUCUAGAAACCCAUUUUAGCGUAGCAUUUUAUUAUGUUUGAAUUUAUGAUGUACUUGAAAACAAUGUAUUCUCAUUUGAAAUUUAUGAAAUGAAUUUAAUUCAUAUUGUC